AUUGAACGCUGGCGGCAGGCCUAACACAUGCAAGUCGAACGGAGCGUCGGACGGGCGAGUAAUUCCUAGGAAUCUGCCCGGUAGUGGGGUAUAACGUCAGGAACCGGACGCUAAUACCGCAUACUAUCAGAUGAGCCUAGGUCGUCUUAGCUAGUUGGUGGGGUAAAGGCCUACCAAGGCGACGAUCCGUAUCUGGUCUGAGAGGCUGAUCAGUCACACUGGAACUGAGACACGGUCCAGACUCCUACGGGAGGCAGCAGUGGGGAAUAUUGGACAAUGGGCGAAAGCCUGAUCCAGCCAUGCCGCGUGUGUGAAGAAGGUCUUCGGAUUGUAAAGCACUUUAAGUUGGGAGGCGUUACCAACAGAAUAAGCACCGGCUAACUUCGUGCCAGCAGCCGCGGUAAUAC
rnacentral:rRNA from 1 species